rnacentral:rRNA from 1 species
UACGUAGGGAGCUAGCGUUGUCCGGAAUCAUUGGGCGUAAAGCGCGCGUAGGCGGCCCGGUAAGUCCGCUGUGAAAGUCAAAGGCUCAACCUUUGAAUGUCAGCGGAUACUGCCGGGCUAGAGUCCGGAAGAGGCGAGUGGAACUCCCUGGUGUAGCGGUGGAAUGCGCAGAUAUCAGGAAGAACACCAACGGCGAAGGCAGCUCGCUGGGACGGAACUGACGCUAAGGCGCGAAAGCGUGGGGAGCGAACAGG